rnacentral:rRNA from 1 species
GACGUAGGGCGCGAGCGUUGUCCGGAUUUAUUGGGCGUAAAGAGCUCGUAGGCGGCUUGUCGCGUCGAAUGUGAAAUCUCAGGGCUCAACUCUGACAUUGCAUUCGAUACGGGCAGGCUAGAGUUCGGUAGGGGAGACUGGAAUUCCUGGUGUAGCGGUGAAAUGCGCAGAUAUCAGGAGGAACACCGGUGGCGAAGGCGGGAUCUCUGGGACGGUACUGACGCUGAGACGCGAAAGCGUGGGGAGCGAACAGG